UUAGAGAGAUGAUUACUUUUGCUGCCUGAUGAAACAGGAGGGAAAAAAUCGUCCUUAGUGUUUGAAGGGAGAAGGGUGACUGCAGAUAAGCCAGGUGUGUGUUCUGUGCUUCAGCUUUCCAAUUGGCCAUGCAGAUGAUAAACCUGACCUCUGUAGAAACCACUGUAAGAGACUGAUGAGCAGUGCUGUAGAGAAGCUAAGGUGGUAUUGCUGCUACACAUCACAGUGCUCAUACCAACGGAGGACAGCCUGCAAAAAUGGCACCAGGGCUGUGCUUCAGAGGCUUGUUUACAUUGGAACCUGCUGUAGGUUACAUCAGUAGUCAGAGC